UUUUUUCUUCUUUCUUCCUUCUACUCUUAUUUCCCUUUUCCUCGUCUCAAAACCAACAAAGAGAAACCAAAGCCAGAUCCAUUCCUAAAUCGACCAAAGAUCUCCUUGCACCAAUAGCUUUAGGCCUGCUAGACCUCAAUAUAUUCCUCUUCUUUUAAUUCCAAACCCUAAAUCGAGCAGUAAUCGUCUUAAGUACGUUAGCAGAAAUGAAUACCCGUUUUUACUUAGUUAACCUAAUAUCAGAAGAUGAUUGAGAUACAAAUACUUAAAAGGUUCAGAAUAUUGGUUACAUAGUAGAGCAUGUGGGGGGAAUGGGUUCAUUUGGAGUUGUCUUCCAGAGAAACUGGAGAAAUAGUUGCAAUCAAGAAGGUUCGUCAAGACAAGCGUUAUAAGAAUCGGGAGCUGCAAAUUAUGCAAAUGUUGGAUCACCCAAACAUCGUAGCUCUAAAGCAUAAUUUCUUUUCGAUCACAGGCAAGGAAGAGCCAUACCUAAAUAUAGUACUUGAGUUCGUACCAAACACUGUUUAUGGUGUUGCAAAGCACUACAGUCGGGUGAACCAGCGCAUGCCACUAAUAUACGUGAACCUCCAUACUUAUCAGGUCUGUGAAGUUCUUGAUAUCUUCUCUAUGUAUUUUCUUACGUGGAGUCGUUCUUGGGUUUGAUAAUAUAUACAAGGAUUUUAUUGAUAAGAGGAUGUUUCUUAGUAACAAAUAUUUACUCUCUGCUUAUGGAAAUUUUUAGAAAUUAUGCUAUUCAAACGCCAUAUCGUAAAUAAAGUGAACAUUAUACUGUAUGUAUAUCACAUGUUCGUAGUGGGAUAGUGCUUCAGCAAAGACACUUAAAUGAACUUACUUACCGGUUUAAAAUGUUUGGUGCAGAUCUGCAGAUCACUUUCUUACAUUCUUAACUGUUUUGGUAUAUGUCACCAUGUUAUUAAGUCGUAGAAUCUGUUGGUAACAGUCGCCUUGUUUACUCUAAUUAACAAGUCCUCGUUUACAUACUUCAUUUACAAGUUCUUCGUACACUUUAAUAAUCUUAUACCGUUACGAUCCUUUCUUAUUUGCCUUUGCAUCACAUCCCCAUGUAUAAAACCUCUAGAGAAUCAAAAUGUCAAAAGGAAGAAGUACCACGUAUUCAAGGUUGGGUGUUCAACAAAAAGUUGUUAAACUACUUACACCUUUCUCAGUAUCGUGGUGAAUAGACAACCCCAUCAGCUCCAUGGAUAUCUACCAUACCGCCACUCGAGAGCAGUCUUAUUCUGAAAGCUCUAACAUAGAAAGGGUAACAGUAACAUGUAUAUGGAGCGAGGGGUUUUUCUAUUGGAACAGUAAAAUGACACACCAAACCAACAAGCUGCAAUCUAAGAAAUUGGUAGAAGAGAAGGUUGACACAGUGGAUGAAGGACAACCGAAGACGGUUUCGUCUGAGGUAUAUUUGACUGCAAUAGUGUAAUUUUUUAAACCAUCCUUAUAUAUUUUCUUUUAUACUUAUUGGCAUGCAUGUCUUCUAUCUUCUAUGAUAGGUGAGGUCAUACUUGGCACACACGUAGAUUGUGUCUUAUACUACUUUAAGCAUUUUCUAAGUCAAUUAUUUUGUCCCUUUGUAUAAUCUUCUCUUUACAAGAAUAAGAGUAAGAACACGUGACUUAUAGAAUAAUUUCAAAGAGGCAUCGUGGAGGUUUCAGUCCACUGGCUCAUGACACCUUGCCUCAGUCUCACUAGAAUUAUAUUCAAACUGUUGCCUCACAUUGCUAAAAGGAAAUGGUAGCAUAAAAAGUAGUAAGUAAACAAAACUAAAAUUUAUAUGAAACAGGCUAACAAAUCAGCAUCCCCUCUACCUCUAGUAUCUUCAGCUGCUAGGAAUCUUCACAGCUUUUUGUUGGUCUAUGAACUUGUAAGGAAUCUUCACAUAGAUGUUUAGGCUUUAGGGAUCAGGAUAUUGUUCGUGUAAAUGUCUCUGAAAUCUUGUCAAACUUACUGUAGCAGGCGCCCGUUAUUUCUUUUCAGUUGAUUCUUGACAGUUGCCAUUUGGCCAUGAAUCAUAAUUGCCAAUGUUUCGUACAGAUUUCCAUUAUUUUUUUCAGGUAAGGAAGCUCGUUGCUUGUAUUAUUUGUGAGAUAAUAAGGACUCAAUGUAUUGUUCUGGAUUUCCCGUUCUGCCAAGGAUCCAAACUAGAUGCUAAUUUCAUUUUGAGACGAAUAUAAGUGUCACUUAAAUUAAUAAUUAGAGUCUGUUAAAAAUUAAUUAA